rnacentral:rRNA from 1 species
GACGUAGGGCGCGAGCGUUGUCCGGAUUUAUUGGGCGUAAAGAGCUCGUAGGCGGCUUGGCAAGUCGGGUGUGAAAACUCCAGGCUCAACCUGGAGACGCCACCCGAUACUGCCAUGGCUUGAGUCCGGUAGGGGACCACGGAAUUCCUGGUGUAGCGGUGAAAUGCGCAGAUAUCAGGAGGAACACCGGUGGCGAAGGCGGUGGUCUGGGCCGGUACUGACGCUGAGGAGCGAAAGCGUGGGGAGCGAACAGG